CUGAGAUUUAGGGAGCACUCUGCCCGGCGUACUCGGGACAUAACGCACUGACCGAUCUCUCAACAGGAUUGUGUACCGUGUGCAGUUCUUGGGAAAGGCGAACAUUGGAAUGGUAAAUGAUUGCUUUACAACCUAGUUGUAGAUGGGUUGGUCUUUCUGGUAACUGCUGCGACAUCCGGUCUCAUCCUCAGUGUGGGGGCAAAGAGGUGCUGCAGCAUGCCAUUAUGAGAGUGCUGCAGAAAAACCUGCCGAUCAAGGUAAUGGGAUCGUGCCAAAGGCCACAUGGGUCAAAUUAAACCCAGCUGCAAAAAUGCACGGCAACACACUGAAUUGGUUUAAUUCACUUGUCAAUUUAAACAUGCGCUCAACCGAUUUCUCCUGCAGGAUGUGCUGUUGGAUAUGAAGGAAACUCAUCUGACGUGCACAGACCAAAAUAGUAAAUCUGUAAGCAUGUGAUACCCAUCAAUUACUUGUUCAGCAUUUUCUCAGUGAAUGGUCAAAUCACAUCAUGCUUUUUGCAUGUUGCGACACAACUAUCCAGAGAUUUCAUGUGUAGGGAGAUUGGAUCAAUCAGACUACACAAUAUUUGCAUUCUGCAUGGCAGACUCCCUACAAACCGCUCCUGCCACAGGCUUCGGUUGCGUGGCGCUUCGAGCAAGCACCACCAAGGAGUGUGAAGAAAUAGUCUCCCGAAUUGCUACUGGCUUCAAGCAUACAGAGUGGUUUGUAUGACAAUGCCGCGAACGCGACCUCUUGAUUGUGUGGAUGUAAAUAAAGGCUGGAUAUACACAAAUUACUGACUUAUUACCACAAACAUGUCGAGCAACACAAGCAUUUCUACUCAUAAAGACCUUUAAUAGAAAGACACGCGACAACAUUUCAUAAAUAGUAUUAAAUGUAGCUGCCAGGGUUUAGGUUUAAAAACAUGUAAAAAGCAGUCAAGAAAAAUAGAGGGGGGGUGCCGUACUGUCGAUCAGAGUGUGGCAUAAGUAUUUACUGUAGCAGCAAACACCUGGACACUGAGACCAACUGAGCAGGACAUGCUGGCAUUUUGUGACGAGUGGUAGAGUUAAGAGACCCUGGACCCCCCAGAGAAGAUAUGAAGAAUUUAUCCCUUCGACAACUUCCAUCCCCAGAUGGAGCCUAAUGUCCACAAUGAGUUGAUGCAAUGGCUGGAGUCGUGACCCCGUGAUGGAAAACUAGGAAGAUACACUUGCUGCACAACACUUCCAAUUAUCUUAAGUGUAAUCAGUCUCGGAAUGAUUGAUCUCAAUCUAAAAUACAAAAGAAA